rnacentral:rRNA from 1 species
UCGAGAAUCAUUCGCAAUGGGCGAAAGCCUGACGAUGCGACGCCGUGUGAGCGAAGAAGGCCUUCGGGUUGUAAAGCUCUUUCGCAUUGGAACAAGGGAGCGUGGCGAAUAGCCUAGUUUCUUGAGCGUACUUUGUAAAGAAGCACCGGCUAACUCCGUGCCAGCAGCUGCGGUAAUACGGAGGGUGCAAGCGUUAAUCGGAUUUAUUGGGCGUAAAGGGCGUCUAGGUGGGAGUGUAAGUCAGAUGUGA